rnacentral:sRNA from 1 species
UAAUUCAACAAUUAUUUACAACUAAUUUCCUCAAAAGAGCUAUUAUUCAGACCAGUUUGUAUAUAGUGUCAAUAGAAAUAAGUGUGGAGUUCUUUACAGAAUCCAAUUAAAUCCUGAACUAUUUUAAAAAUUGUCUCUAAAAAAUGACUUGACAUACUAACAACAAAAAGUAUUUUAAGGUAGAGAUUCAAAUUCGUCAAAAGUAACCACCGAUGGGAGAUUUAAUUGGGACUCUAGUCACUGAAAGUCGAAUCUGGAGAUCAAGACGGCGAAGAAAUUGGUUUCAAGAGGUUAGGGUUUGAUUAAGAGAGAAUUGCUAAAAAAGAAGAAAUAGGUUAGUUUUUUUUGUAGUUUCUCAAACAUAAUAAGAGUACUUUUGUCAUUUACCAGAUAUAACGCGUUUGACGCUGACUUUCAUUAGCAUCUACAAUUGUUAGCCGCAGGAUGCUGAGUUUGCUGCAGCUACUUGCGUCAACCAAACGAACAUACAUACUCAGUUACGUUUGCCACCGCCACAACAACAUGUGAUGACCAAACGAACACGCUAAUUAUACACGACAAGGAUCCUCUUAUUCUUCUUGCGAGUCAUGAUCCCUUUUACAAAU